rnacentral:rRNA from 1 species
AACGAACGCUGGCGGCAGGCUUAACACAUGCAAGUCGAGCGCCCCGCAAGGGGAGCGGCAGACGGGUGAGUAACGCGUGGGAAUCUACCCAUCUCUACGGAAUAACGCAUGGAAACGUGUGCUAAUACCGUAUACGUCCUUCGGGAUAAAGAUUUAUCGGAGAUGGAUGAGCCCGCGUUGGAUUAGCUAGUUGGUGGGGUAAAGGCCUACCAAGGCGCCGAUCCAUAGCUGGUCUGAGAGGAUGAUCAGCCACACUGGGACUGAGACACGGCCCAGACUCCUACGGGAGGCAGCAGUGGGGAAUAUUGGACAAUGGGCGCAAGCCUGAUCCAGCCAUGCCGCGUGAGUGAUGAAGGCCCUAGGGUUGUAAAGCUCUUUCACCGGUGAAGAUAAUGACGGUAACCGGAGAAGAAGCCCCGGCUAACUUCGUGCCAGCCGCCGCCGUAAUAC